UACGUAGGGGGCAAGCGUUGUCCGGAUUUAUUGGGCGUAAAGAGCGUGUAGGCGGUCUGGUAGGUCCGUUGUGAAAACUAGAGGCUUAACCUCUAGACGUCGAUGGAAACUGUUUGGCUAGAGUCCGGAAGAGGAGAAUGGAAUUCCUGGUGUAGCGGUGAAAUGCGCAGAUAUCAGGAAGAACACCCGUGGCUAAGGCGGUUCUCUAGUACGGUACUGACGCUGAGACGCGAAAGCGUGGGGAGCGAACAGG
rnacentral:rRNA from 1 species